ensembl:lncRNA
GUGGGUCUGUCACUCCUCAACACCUUCCCCUGCUCCCUCCGGCCAGGCUGGGCAUGGCUGCUGCCAGGGCAGGGAGCUCAGUCCUCAGAGCAAGGUGCCAGGCUGCCAAGGUGCCAGGCUGGGGGACAAGGGACAAAGGUCCUGGAGGCACAGAGCAGGGUGUUUGUUAUGGGGCACAGAGCAGGGGGCUGGUUAUGGGGCACAAAGCAGGGUGUUUGUUAUGGGGCACAGAAAGGGUGUUGUGGGGCACAGAGCAGGGUGUUGUGGGGCACAGAGCAGGGUGUUUGUUAUGGGGCACAGAGCAGGGUGUUUGUUAUGGGGCACAGAAUGGCAGUUGUGGGGCACAGAUGGGGAGGAAGGCAGGAGCAGAGGGCAAUGGGGAGAGCCCCAGGCAGGGCAGUGUUAGAUGGAAGGAGAGAUCCCCUGGGCAGUGCAGGGGUGUCAGGCCGGCUGGGAAGGGCAGUGGAUGGCCCAGCACAGCCACGAGUGGAUGGGACACGGCUGCUGAGGGAGCUGAGCUCUGCCCAGCCCCUGCUUCCCUCUGGGUGUCCCCAUUCCCUCCCUGUGCCUUCCUGCCCUGUCCUGAGUGCAGGAGCACCGAGGGCAGCAGGGACCAGGCCGCCAGCAGAGAGCAGCCUGCCCAGAACAGCGCUGGAGGCUCCUUCCCUGGCACAUCCCAAACCCACCUGGCCACGUCCCGGAGUAACUGCUCCAGGUCCCUUCCAACCUCACCACCCUGGGCAGGAAUUCCCUGUUUCCAGAGGACAUUCCCCACCUGAAAUCCUCCCUGAGCUGCCCUUGGCUGGCCCAGGAGAGCCAGGGGUCCCUCCCUCCAUCCAUCACAGGGAUGUCCCCAUGCCACCAUCCCAGGGACACCAGAGCUGCCCCACCAGCUUCCCUUCCCCCGAGAGCCGUGCAGGACACCAAGUGCUGUCCCUGCAGCUGCUGGGCAGGACUCAACCCUCAGAUCCCUCCUGCCUUCCCCCUCUCACCCACCACCAUUCCAAUCCACUCCUCCACUCCCCACCAGCGAGUUUGUCCCACCAGGAGGUGACAGAGGUGACCUCCGUGUGCCAUUGUCCAGGGGACAGCGAUGCCAUUGCUGCCCUGGGUGUCACCUCCUUGUCCCACAUUUCCCUGUCCCUUCAGCUGCAGAUGGAGCCUCUGGAAGGGAGUGGAGAUUUCCAGAUUUCCAGCUCUGGCUGUUGCCAGGAGCUGCACACCCACAGCCAGCCAUGGGAGCCUCGGUGGGGCUGGCUCCAGUGUCCCCAGAGUGUGCCCAGGGCGUGGCACAGCUGGACAAAGCCCUGUGGCCUUUGGGUGACUCGGCCUGGUGACUCUGCAAGCCCUGGGNGAUGGCGAUUCCCACCCUCGCCUUGUGCUCUGCUGGAAGGGCUCCAGAGGAUCCCUCUGUGGUCACAGCUGUGCUGGAAUUCCAGAGAUCCCUCUGUGAUCACAGCUCUGCUGGAAUUCCAGAGAUCCCUCUGUGAUCACAGCUCUGCUGGAAUUCCAGAGGAUC